AGAAGCUGCAGCCAAAAGGAGAGCAGCGCAUAUAUUCACAGAAAGAAUAUAGGUGACUUAAAACUUCCCCGGCAGAACUUCACUGAAACAGCUCUGGAAAGAGCGGUGACAGUUAACCAGAAGGUAGCAAAGAAGAGUAAAAAUGAAGCAAAGAAAAAUGAGAAAUGGAAAUCCAGACCUCUGAGAAGGAGCACUGCUCAGCUGAUAGUGGGAUCUUUGAGCUUGGGAUGGGGAUGAGAAGAGAAAAUAGAGCUGGUUCUGCAAGCAAACUGGAUCCAGAUACUUCAGAAAGGAACUACUGCCACUAUGAUUUGUAGACCUUCCCACGUACCCUUAUGGACAGAGUCAAACAUGGAGCUGUUGGCAAAGCAGAAAUGUGGUCUGCAGAGUUUGAGCCCCAGUGUCACAAAGCAGAGUGUAAAAGGGUAAAUAACAGCUUACAAGCAGAAGUCACGAAGAUCUUACUGAAAAUAACCAUAACAUAAUCUUUCAUCUAAAGACUUUCCUGGCUCCUCCUGUAUAGUGCUUUACUUUGCUGAACUUGCAUACACACCAGGUUAAUUUAUAGUUGGAGAAAAGCCUUAUAACUCUUAAAGCCCCCUAACUCACUCUCCAGCUUCCAAGGACACAGGGGUUAUGUCAACAUGCUGGGAUGCUAUAGGGACAUUAAAAUGACAAACGUGCUAACUAAUGUCAAUAUAUGGACAUGGUAAUACAAAAUUUAAAAAUUAAAAAAAAAAAUCCCAGAAGACAACAUCCUAGGGGUACUUAUAUAUAACAAUGUAAAGUUUAUAGAUGUACAUGAAAAGAUUGGAAGUAAAAUUGGAAUAAUGUGAAUUAAAUUGAAAUAAGUCAUUGUACCUCAAUGUUCCAUUUUUUCUUUCUAUAAAAUUGUGCAAGUUCAUAAUUGUUUUUUUAAAGAAAAAAUGAGAAAAUUUGCUCAUUUGUGUUUCCCAAACUGCUUCUCUAUUAGAUCUGUGUCCAUGCCAAUGGUUUUUUUUUUUUGUAUCUUCUUUGAACAAAUAAAGUAAUGUUGGUUUUGUCUGACCUAUAACCCCAGCUUUUUAAACACUUUAUGCUUUUACAGCUGUUUAGUAUAAUAUCAUAGACUGAGUAGAGUUUGCCCUCUGAAUUAAUUUUCAAAAUAAGAUCAAUAUGUACAAUUAAAGAAAAUCACUAUAAAAACUAUACUAUCUAUCAUACAACAUAUCGUUGGCUCUCUUGGUUUUUAAAAGUAGUAACAGUGCCUGACUUUGUCCUGCUUUGUGCAGAAUGAGACAUGAUGAAAGUAUUUUGUGUGCUGACAAUAAAACACAGUGGAGAGGAAAAGGAAAAAGCUGCUCCUGUGAAAAUGCUUUCCUUCAAUAGGAAACUCUUCGUUCCUGGUUGAAGAGGCACGGAGAAAACACAGCCAUGAAAACACAGUUCUUCUUCUAGUCACAAACAUGCCUUUGGCACUGAUCAAGGCACCCCCCAAGGAUGAGGGCUGGGGCAAAGGACUAUUAAACUAGAAUGUUCUCAAUUUUUCUUUUACUGUCUCAAGGCCAUCUAGUAAAUGUUCUUGCAACUACA
ensembl:lncRNA novel transcript